AGUAAGGUCAGCUAAUUAAGCUAUCGGGCCCAUACCCCGAAAAUGUUGGUUUAU
rnacentral:tRNA from 1 species